AUUGAACGCUGGCGGCAAGCCUAACACAUGCAAGUCGAACGAGUGGCGCACGGGUGAGGAAUGUCUGGGACACUGCCUGAAGGAGGGGGAUAACUACUGGAAACGGUAGCUAAUACCGCAUACCAUCGGAUGUGCCCAGAUGGGAUUAGCCAGUAGGUGGGGUAAAGGCUCACCUAGGCGACGAUCCCUAGCUGGUCUGAGAGGAUGACCAGCCACACUGGAACGGAGACACGGUCAAGACUCCUACGGGAGGCAGCAGUGGGGAAUAUUGCACAAUGGGCGCAAGCCUGAUGCAGCCAUGCCGCGUGUAUGAAGAAGGCCUUCGGGUUGUAAAGUACUUUCAGCGGGGAAGCGUUACCCGCAGAGAAAGCACCGGCUAACUCCGUGCCAGCAGCCGCGGUAAUUC
rnacentral:rRNA from 1 species